UACGUAGGGUGCAAGCGUUGUCCGGAAUUAUUGGGCGUAAAGAGCUCGUAGGCGGUCUGUCGCGUCUGCUGUGAAAACCUGGGGCUUAACCCCGGGCCUGCAGUGGGUACGGGCAGACUAGAGUGCGGUAGGGGAGACUGGAAUUCCUGGUGUAGCGGUGAAAUGCGCAGAUAUCAGGAGGAACACCGGUGGCGAAGGCGGGUCUCUGGGCCGUAACUGACUCUGAGGAGCGAAAGCAUGGGGAGCGAACAGG
rnacentral:rRNA from 1 species